CUCCUGAUCACCACCCUGGCCAGCAGAUUUCAACCAGCCUGCUGUCUGCUCAUCCAGCCCAUACUUCAUGGGCUUCUCUGUGAGGGAGCCCUGUCUGUGUCCACUAGUACACACAUUCAUUUGGAUUUUAAACAAUCAAACAGAAGGGAGUGUUUUAACAGCAGAAUUAUUUUUCAAAGGGAAAUAGAAGGGUAUGGCUUUGAUGGAACGAGUGCCUUCAAGCUCCAUUGGCAGGCACUGUUUGAAAACUAUUUGGGUGAUUUUGGAUAAGAAAUGAAAGAUGCAACAGCAGGAAGCCAUUCAGCAAUCCCUGACAAGGGAGGUCCACUGUCAAUUGCUGGGAGGGCCCCCACCUGUUUCUUUUAAUGGUGCUCCCAAAUCCCACCCCUUGGGCCUCCCAUCCCAUCCUUUUUGGUCCCCUCAGGCAUCUCCUCCCCAGGAUCUGCUCUGUGUCCUACCCAGGGUCCCCAAACAUCCUCCCACUGAUCAUUCCCAAAGCUUUUCUUUCCAGACCUUUGCCUUUCACCCAGGCCACUGCCCUGGUACCUCCCAAGACCAUUCCUUGCCUCCCUCUCCACUCCCAACCAUCUCCCAGUGCCCUCAUUUUUGUCCUCCUCCAUCCUCCUCCUCCUGUCCCCACCAAGCCUCUCCCUUGCAGUCCCCAUGUCCCUACACUUGAAUUCCUUUCCCCUCCCCUGCAUCCCACACAGGGCCCCUUCAACACCCCAAUCCCAGUCCCGUGGGCUCCCCAGUUCCCCCCAGUUCAGCAUCUUUGGGUCCCCUCCUACUCCCCCCACCCUCCCUGCAGGCCCUGAAUUCCCCUGGCUCUCCUUGUCUCCAUCCCCACCCUGGGCCCUGCAGGCACAGGGGUUGGAGGUGAAACUGGGUGCAGUGGGAGCGGGGGGAGCAGAAGGGAUUUUCCCCCUCAGACGGGGGCAGCCCUGGGCUGGGGGGGCUGGGGACACCCGUGUCCCUCCCCCAGCCCCACAGGGGCCAAUCCUGCUUAAACCUUUGCUCUCCUUGCCCAGGCACUCUUGGCAGGAACCCAAAAUGAUCUGUGGGAGGUGAGUGGGCCGGGGGGACUGGAGGGAAUCCAGUCUGGGAACUGGGGGACACUUUGGUCCCCCCAUCCCUCGCUGGCACCGGGGACAUCCCAGUGACCAGCCAGGGCUCCUGGUCUCUCUCCAGGUGGAUUUAGUGGAAGUUGGGAUCCUGAAGACGGCUCAGGUGGGUACCAGGAGUUCUGCCUGAGUCGGGUCCUCCCCUCACAUGGCCAUGACACUCCUGGCCAUCCCAGUCUGCCCCAGUAUACCCCAGUGCACCACUCCAAUGACUCGAUUUCUUUCCCUUGGCUUCCAGUACAUCCCAGUUCAGCCCAGUGUGUCUCUAACCAUGCCUUUGUCCCCAGCCCCCUGUGGUUGAGAAGGUGGUGGGUCCUGUUGGUGAGAUGUGGCUGCAUCCCUGGAUGGCUGAGGACUGGUGGUGACACCCGUGCCCUGUCCCCCUCCAGCAGCAUGAGGAGAUGAUCAUCCCUGGAAGAACCCCCUGAUUUCCCUCAGAGCCCAGGGCCAUU